UGGGGAAUUUUGCACAAUGGGGGAAACCCAGAUGCAGCGACGCCGCGUGAUUUAGAAGGCCUUCGGGUUGUAAACAUCUUUUCUAUGGGAAGAAAAUGACAGUACCAUAGGAAUAAGGACCGGCUAAUUACGUGCCAGCAGCCGCGGUAAUACGUAAGGUCCGAGCGUUGUCCGGAAUCAUUGGGCGUAAAGGGUACGUAGGCGGGUAAGCAAGUUAGAAGUGAAAUCCUAUAGCUCAACUAUAGUAAGCUUUUAAAACUGCUCAUCUUGAGGUAUGGAAGGGAAAGUGGAAUUCCUAGUGUAGCGGUGAAAUGCGCAGAUAUUAGGAGGAAUACCGGUGGCGAAGGCGACUUUCUGGCCAUAACCUGACGCUGAGGUACGAAAGCGUGGGUAGCAAACAGG
rnacentral:rRNA from 1 species